ensembl:scaRNA
GGUCGGUGAUGUAAAGUAAAAGGUCUGAAGCUCGGCCCCCCCUCUGUUGGCCGUCUUGGCUCCCAGCAGCUCCGGCUCUGUUUUCCCAUCAUGCUCUAGUGGUGCAGUGGUGGUCCCAGGAGCUGCUGACAGAGACAGGAAGUGACAUCACAGUGCGAGUCUGUACAGAGAGCCUGCAGGCUCAGUGUGAUGAUGACUCACUUCCAACAGAACCAAUCAGAACGGAGCGUGAGGCCCAGGGGGCGGGGCCUGAGUACUGAUCUCACUCUCCUGCUGAGACC